AGAGGGUGCAAGCGUUAAUCGGAAUUACUGGGCGUAAAGCGUGCGUAGGCGGAAAUUCAAGUCGAUUGUGAAAGCCCCGGGCUCAACCUGGGAAUUGCGCUCGAUACUGAAUUUCUAGAGUAUGGUAGAGGGAAGUGGAAUUUCCGGUGUAGCGGUGAAAUGCGUAGAUAUCGGAAAGAACACCAGUGGCGAAGGCGACUUCCUGGACCAAUACUGACGCUAAGGCACGAAAGCGUGGGGAGCAAACAGGAUUAGAGACCCUGGUAGUCCACGCCGUAAACGAUGAGAACUAGACGUUAGUUCCCGCUUUGCGGAAUUAGUGUCGAAGCUAACGCGUUAAGUUCUCCGCCUGGGGAGUACGGCCGCAAGGCUA
rnacentral:rRNA from 1 species